rnacentral:rRNA from 1 species
AUAACGACUCUCGGCAACGGAUAUCUCGGCUCUCGCAUCGAUGAAGAACGCAGCGAAAUGCGAUACCUGGUGUGAAUUGCAGAAUCCCGUGAAUCAUCGAGUCUUUGAACGCAAGUUGCGCCCGAGACCGUCCGGUCGAGGGCACGCCUGCCUGGGCGUCACG